ACAGAGGGGGAUAGCCUUCCGAAAGGAAGAUUAAUACCGCAUAUUAUGAGUUUUCUGCAUGGGGAAUUCAUGAAAGGAGCAAUCCGCUGUAAGAUGGGCCCGCGGCGCAUUAGCUAGUUGGUGAGGUAACGGCUCACCAAGGCGACGAUGCGUAGCCGACCUGAGAGGGUGAUCGGCCACAUUGGGACUGAGACACGGCCCAGACUCCUACGGGAGGCAGCAGUGGGGAAUAUUGCACAAUGGGGGAAACCCUGAUGCAGCAACGCCGCGUGAGUGAUGAAGGCCUUCGGGUUGUAAAGCUCUGUCUUCAGGGACGAUAAUGACGGUACCUGAGGAGGAAGCCACGGCUAACUACGUGCCAGCAGCCGCGGUAAUACGUAGGUGGCGAGCGUUAUCCGGAUUUACUGGGCGUAAAGGAUGCGUAGGUGGAUUUUUAAGUGAGAUGUGAAAUACCCGGGCUCAACCUGGGAACUGCAUUUCAAACUGGAAGUCUAGAGUGCAGGAGAGGAAAGCGGAAUUCCUAGUGUAGCGGUGAAAUGCGUA
rnacentral:rRNA from 1 species